rnacentral:miRNA from 2 species
GUAUUAACAAUGUGGCUGAUGA